CAUGGGUCUACGCUGUUUUCCAAGGCCUUUUUUCUAGACGCUAGGCAAAAAUGGGUUAAGUUGACAAGAGGACUUGCUUUGAUCGCAAUGUGGAAAAUAUGCUUUAGAUAGUAAUGUAAAUCAAGCUGCUGUUCUUACUUGCGGGUGUGUUUGGGGUUCGUAUCAGACAAGACCAUGUCGAAACAGGCCAGCUCACAUUCCGUUAUGAUCCCACGUCGAACUUUCUUGUCACUCGCAACUCAGAAGCGUGUUUCCUGGCACUAUUGUUGGGACACGAGCGGGACAUUAUCCAUACGGAUCGCGGAAUACAACAACUGGAGAUACAGAUGAUGUUCGAGUGGAUUGGCAAGGUACCGGAAGUGCCAGUGUACCGCACCGACCACAACAUUCCAUCAGCCGUGUUAAAGAUGUGCUUAAGCCAGCUUAUCUUUUAUCUGGAUAGAACCGGGCAGCUUAGCGACCAAACCACAAUAUCGACAAUCACCCCACCCACCUCGUCUCUCCUCGUACCAACAAGGACCUUACAUCCGGACGCCUCUACAGAUGCGUUUACAAGUCAAACACCUGAACAUACAGAUACAACUAAAGCACACAGUGCUUCUUUUGCUUUCUCUUCAACAGAUUUUGCUACACAAGCAACAAGCAAAGAAAAGCACACAACCGUCCCCAGCAUAGGAACGAAUAUGUUGACAUUAACGGCGCCGUUUACCUCCAUUAACGCAGCUUCUGGUUCCACGUUGACUAGAAGUCAAUACGGGUCAACAACUGUGUUCACAUGGCCGCCUUCCAUGGUGUUCUAUGGGCCGAUAUCGGCGACCAGCUCCCAUCCAACCUUUCCGACAACUUCACAUGCGUAACAGUUUAUAUAUUUUAAUGAUUCAAUUAAAAUUUAUUACGGAAAACGACUUUUUUUAUAAAUUUAACUUAUCCUUUUGCUCUUUGGUCCAACUGAGCACCGGGUUCUCGACGUUUAAGUUUUUAUCCACCUCCUGGCUUCCGAACUGGACACCAAUUUUUGAAUUGUUAAUUGAACGAUGUCAGCUUAAUAAU